CCCCACCAAACUUUCCACAAUUUAUUAUAAAAGCAUUUUAAAAAAUUAUAGUGAUGUUUUACAAGAGAAUAUGGAAAAAGAAAACAUAAAAUGAGUAAGUAGAGAAGAAAAGACUUAUGACUUGGUCUUCUUCCUCGCUAAAAACAUGCUGGCAAUAAUAAAUUUAGCCAGUCUGGAAUUUGGACCACCAUUAUUGAUGGAGUUGGUCAAGCAAAAUGGUACAGCCCAUUGGAUUGG
rnacentral:lncRNA from 1 species